rnacentral:rRNA from 1 species
CAGCACUUUGCCAACUCGUAAGAGGAAGUAUAAGGUGUGACGCCUGCCCGGUGCUCGAAGGUUAAGAGGAUGCGUCAGUCGCAAGAUGAAGCGUUGAAUUGAAGCCCGAGUAAACGGCGGCCGUAACUAUAACGGUCCUAAGGUAGCGAAAUUCCUUGUCGGUUAAAUACCGACCUGCAUGAAUGGCGUAACGAGAUGGGAGCUGUCUCAACCAGAGAUUCAGUGAAAUUGUAGUGGAGGUGAAAAUUCCUCCUACCCGCGGCAAGACGGAGAGACCCCGUGGACCUUUACUACAACUUAGCACUGCUAACGGGAAUAUCAUGUGC